rnacentral:misc_RNA from 1 species
UCAAUUCUAAUAUACUAUAUAUUUUAUAUUAUAUAAUAUAAGUACAUAAACAUAGUUGCAUACAUAAGUAUUCCCACAAAACUCCAUCCAAACCAAAAGCAAUCAACAUCCAAAAGAAACUCCCAACAUACAAUAAAUACUAUAUACUAUAUAUUUAAUUAGUACUUACUUGACUAGGCCAUAAUCAAACAACAAACAUACUCGGUGAAAUCCUACUACCUCGUGUGGAAGUAGAGAUACUGUUUCCGAAAGAACUUAAAAGCCAUAAUCAUAUCCCCUUUUUCAACAAUAAGCAAGACAUUUCUUCUUGCAAUCCAUGAUACAUCCACCACCCCCACCCCCAUAUCCAUACCCUUUUCCAGCCCCACUAGAUGACUUGAAACACUUUGAUGGACACUUUAGUUUUUUACCAAAACAUGGGCCUUUGUCUUUGCAAACAAUAGUGGGCCUUAUGAUUCCACCUUUACCAUAUCCUCCUUUUGGGCCUCCAAAUCCACCACCAUAUCCUCCUCCAACUAUAGGCCCAAAACCAGGGAUGUUGAAUCCACCUACAGGCCCAAAACCAGGGAUAUUAUUGUUGUCAUCAUUUUUAGUAGUAGCAAAAGUGAAAGUGAUUGAGAUGAACAAGAAAAUUAAGAUGAGAGCUAUAGAGUUCUUCAUAUUUGACAAGAGGGAAAAGGAAGAGAAGUAAGAAAGA